rnacentral:rRNA from 1 species
CAUGUCCUUUUGAUUUUAAUUUAAGGUCUGGUCUGCUCAAUGAAUAAUUAAAUUGCCGCAGUAUUUUGACUGUGCAAAGGUAGCAUAAUAAUUAGUUUCUUGAUUAGGAACUGGAAUGAAUGAUUGGACGAGAAAAUUUCUGUCUCUUAUGGAUGGUUUAUUGAAUUUUAUUUUUAAGUUAAAAAGCUUAAAUUUAAAUAAAAGACGAGAAGACCCUAUAGAGUUUUAUAUUUAAAUAUUUAUUAAAUUUUGGUAAAUUCUUUAAAUUUUAAGUAUUUAGUUGGGGUGACUUAGAGAUUUAAAUAAUUCUUUAAAUAUUAAAUUGUUGAUAAGUAAUUUGUAAAUCUAGUUUUUUUAAAUUUAAAAUUAAUUACCUUAGGGAUAACAGCGUAAUUUUUCUUUAAAGUUCAUAUUGAAAGAAGAUUUUGCGACCUCGAUGUUGGAUUAAAAUUAAUUUUUGGUGCAGUAACUUAAAAAUUAGGUCUGUUCGACCUUUAAAAUUUUACAUGAUCUGAGUUUAGACCGGUGUAAGCCAGGUUGGAUUCUAUCUUUAAUUUUAUAAUAUAUUUUAGUACGAAAGGACCGGAUAUAUAUUAAAUAAUAAUUA